ensembl:lncRNA
CUCAGCUGUGUGAUGAAGUGGGUAAAGGAGUUGGCCAGGGGGACUGAUGGUGUCAGAAACCAACCCGCCAUUCCCACCCCACCUCGUGUCCCUGGAGCCUCCAAGAGGAAGUUGCAUCCCCAUGCCGACUGAGCAGUUGCAUUCUUGCAUCCCAGGACUCCUGGCCAACAGAGCACCAUGAAGCUGUGCCUCAGGUACAGAGGCCACUAACACCUGAAUGAGACAUAGAAGUGCUCUGAACAGCAAGCCCAAGCACUGCUAACCCGCUUAUGAGAAGCUGGCUGACACAAUCCAUCCGCUUCCCGAGGCCUGAGAAGAAUAUGAAAUCAGAUUAAUCAGAUGAAGACGACUCAUCUGAAUCCCAUCACAUCAGGGUGAGGCUGUAAGCGGAAGGGUGCUGGGCACUCUGGUGUCCUAAACACCACCUACAAAGCAGAUCUGCAGAAUGGGACAGAAAGGAAUCAAUUAAAUAUAUCUCUGCUGCACUCAACGCAGUUCCAUGGGUGUCUGCAGAAAUUAGGGGUUCCACAUCCUUCCCAAGGGCUCUGCUGCACCACUCCCUUUCUCUCUCAUCGCCAAUAAGGGCUGGGCGUCCCGCCGAGCUCGGGAUGGACAGGUGAUAUUUAAUGACAGUUUUUCAAGUUGCUUUUCCCAGAGCCAUUACAAAACGUACAACCAGCACAAAUCUGACUGUAGGGUGAAUUUGCCACCUUGAAAUCAAAUUCUCAUGGAAAUGAAAUGGCUGACCCCAAAUCCCCCGAAUGCUGGAUGAGCUCGCAUGAUAAACAACUUGUAAUGGCUCUGCUGGCGCUACCGACUCUGUUAAAUGUCACUGCUUCUCUAAAUACCUUCCGGGAGAUGACUGCUCUAUCUGUAUUCUGUAUUUUCCCCUUUUUAAUAUCAGCGUCUGCAAUGUUGCCAUCCUGGAAGCCAUUGUCCAGGGAUUGCAGAGAGCCUCAGACUCAUUUUGCUCUCUGUCACGUCAGUCAUUUCUCAGUAUCCACAUCAGUGUUUAGCUCACAACAACUUUACAGCAAGCUGCCUGCUGCCUGGCAGGCCAGGCUGGCACAGACCCCACUCUGCUCCUCUGGAAGGGCCGUGCACAGCCCCAUGGGGACACAUCUGCUGGUCGCUGCUGCCAAGCCCUUAUGGUCAUCAGCAUCACCACCUGGUCUUGCUUCCCUUUCAAGACCACUUCUUGUUUUAAGUCAGCAGAAUGAUCGCUUCAUGCUUUUAUUACACGGAUCUAUAUUUGGGGUGCUGAAAAUGGUUUGCAUCUAAUUAGCCUACCCCAUCCCCCCCCAAAAAAGGUGCCAAACUCAUCUUGUUAAACCACAUGAGCAACACCAUGCAGAUAGCCCAGCACAGCAGGUGCAUUCUGUCACAUAGCAAACCCUGCAUUGCUGUCUCUAAAUGUCUGAAAGUCUGUAAAACAGCUCUAAAUACAAUUAGGGAGCAGUGGAAGCAAAAUGACUGGGGCAUUUGCAUCCAGCUGCUUGCCUGGAGCAUGGGCUGCUGUGUGCAGAGCUCAAGGAUUCAAGCGUUGGCCACAAUAGCAGUAACACAGAG